rnacentral:misc_RNA from 1 species
GAUGAAGAACGCAGCGAAAUGCGAUAAGUAGUGUGAAUUGCAGAAUUCAGUGAAUCAUCGAAUCUUUGAACGCACAUUGCGCCCUUUGGUAUUCCAAAGGGCAUGCCUGUUCGAGCGUCAUUUGUACCCUCAAGCUUUGCUUGGUGUUGGGCGUCUUGUCUCCAGUUCGCUGGAGACUCGCCUUAAAGUAAUUGGCAGCCGGCCUACUGGUUUCGGAGCGCAGCACAAGUCGCGCUCUCUUCCAGCCAAGGUCAGCAUCCACAAAGCCUUUUUUCAACUUUUGACCUCGGAUCAGGUAGGGAUACCCGCUGAACUUAAGCAUAUCAAUAAGCGGAGA